UACGUAGGGGGCUAGCGUUGUCCGGAAUCAUUGGGCGUAAAGCGCGUGUAGGCGGUCCGGUAAGUCCGCUGUGAAAGUCGAGGGCUCAACCCUCGAAUGCCGGUGGAUACUGUCGGGCUUGAGUACGGGAGAGGCGAGCGGAAUUCCUGGUGUAGCGGUGAAAUGCGCAGAUAUCAGGAGGAACACCGAUUGCGAAGGCAGCUCGCUGGAACGUUACUGACGCUGAGACGCGAAAGCGUGGGGAGCAAACAGG
rnacentral:rRNA from 1 species